rnacentral:rRNA from 1 species
CCUGACCCUUUAAGGGUCCUGAAGGAACGUUGAAGACGACGACGUUGAUAGGCCGGGUGUGUAAGCGCAGCGAUGCGUUGAGCUAACCGGUACUAAUGAACCGUGAGGCUUAACCUUACAACGCCGAAG